rnacentral:rRNA from 1 species
GACGAACGCUGGCGGCGUGCUUAACACAUGCCAGUCGAACGGAAAGGCCCUGCUUGCAGGGUCCUCGAGUGGCGAACGGGUGAGUAACACGUGGGUGCUCUGCCCUGCACUUCGGGGUAAGCUUGGGAAACUGGGUCUAAUACCGGAUAGGAACCAUCUUUAGUGUGGUGGUUGGAAAGUUUUUUCGGUGUAGGAUGAGCUCGCGGCCUAUCAGCUUGUUGGUGGGGUAAUGGCCUACCAAGGCGGCGACGGGUCGCCGGCCUGAGAGGGUGUACGGCCACAUUGGGACUGAGAUACGGCCCAGACUCGUACGGGAGGCAGCAGUGGGGAAUAUUGCACAAUGGGCGCAAGCCUGAUGCAGCGACGCCGCGUGGGGGAUGAAGGCCUUCGGGUUGUAAACUCCUUUCGCUAGGGACGAAGCUUUUUGUGACGGUACCUAGAUAAGAAGCACCGGUUAACUACGU